rnacentral:rRNA from 1 species
UACGUAGGGUGCGAGCGUUAAUCGGAAUUACUGGGCGUAAAGCGUGCGUAGGCGGUUGGCAAAGUCAGCUGUGAAAGCCCCGGGCUCAACCUGGGAAUGGCGGUUGAAACUAGUCGACUCGAAUCUGGCAGAGGGGGGUGGAAUUCCGACGUGUAGCAGUGAAAUGCGUAGAGAUGUGGAGGAACACCGAUGGCGAAGGCAGCCCCCUGGGCUGAGAUUGACGCUCAGGCACGAAAGCGUGGGGAGCAAACAGGG